AGAGUUUGAUCCUGGCUCAGGAUGAACGCUGGCGGUCUGCUUAACACAUGCAAGUCGAACGGAGUAGAAAUACUUAGUGGCGGACGGGUGAGUAACGCGUGAGAAUCUGCCUUCAGGACGGAGACAACAGUUGGAAACGACUGCUAAGCCCCGAUGUACCGAAAGGGAAAAUAUUUAUAGCCUGAAGAUGAGCUCGCGUCCGAUUAGCUAGUUGGCGGAGUAAAAGCCCACCAAGGCGACGAUCGGUAGCUGGUCUGAGAGGACGAUCAGCCACACUGGGACUGAGACACGGCCCAGACUCCUACGGGAGGCAGCAGUGGGGAAUUUUCCGCAAUGGGCGAAAGCCUGACGGAGCAAGACCGCGUGGGGGAAGAAGGCUCUUGGGUUGUAAACCCCUUUUCUCAGGGAAGAACACAAUGACGGUACCUGAGGAAUAAGCAUCGGCUAACUCCGUGCCAGCAGCCGCGGUAAUACGGAGGAUGCAAGCGUUAUCCGGAAUUAUUGGGCGUAAAGCGUCCGCAGGUGGCUAAUCAAGUCUGCUGUCAAAGACCGGGGCUUAACUUCGGAAAGGCAGUGGAAACUGAACAGCUAGAGUAUGGUAGGGGCAGAGGGAAUUCCUGGUGUAGCGGUGAAAUGCGUAGAGAUCAGGAAGAACAUCGGUGGCGAAGGCGCUCUGCUGGACCAUAACUGACACUCAGGGACGAAAGCUAGGGGAGCGAAUGGGAUUAGAUACCCCCGUAGUCC
rnacentral:rRNA from 1 species